rnacentral:misc_RNA from 1 species
GGUUCGAUCAUGGCUCAGAUUGAACGCUGGCGGGAUGCUUUACACAUGCAAGUCGAACGGCAAGUAAUGGAUAUCCGGUCUGGUGGCGAGUGGCGAACGGGUGAGUAAUGUAUCGGAACGCUCAGUAGCGGGGAUAACUACGCCGAAAGCGUAGCCAAUACUGCACACCCCUGGUGCUGACCUUCGGGCCUCGCACUAAUAGAGCGGCCGAUAUCGGAUUAGCUAGUUGGUGGGGUAACGGCUCACCAAGGCGACGAUCCGUAGCUGGUUUGAGAGGACGACCAGCCACACUGGGACUGAGACAGCGUCCGCCAGAUCACGGGAGGCAGUGGGGAAUUCCUGGGAUAAUGGGGAAACCCUGAUCCAGCCAUCCCGCACGUAAGACUGGUCAUCUUCACAGGCUAAAAGCACUUUAUGAGGAAAGAAACGACACGGGAUAAUACCCCGUGCAACUGACGGUA